rnacentral:rRNA from 1 species
UACGAAGGGGGCUAGCGUUGUUCGGAAUCACUGGGCGUAAAGCGCACGUAGGCGGAUUUUUAAGUCAGGGGUGAAAUCCCGAGGCUCAACCUCGGAACUGCCUUUGAUACUGGGAAUCUUGAGUGUGGUAGAGGUAGGUGGAACUGCGAGUGUAGAGGUGAAAUUCGUAGAUAUUCGCAAGAACACCAGUGGCGAAGGCGGCCUACUGGACCACAACUGACGCUGAGGUGCGAAAGCGUGGGGAGCAAACAGG